rnacentral:lncRNA from 1 species
AUGAGAGGGCCUGAGUGGUACCUCACUGUGUCCUCCCGGUGGGUUGUGUUUCACACUGAGGCUACCCAUGGUGUGUGUAUACCCAUCUGUCCAUGUUGUUUUAAAAAUCUGUUGUGUGGGUGUGUGCCUGAACACAGUGUCGGUAAGUGUUUGUGUGUGACUGUGAAUAGGAUAGAGUAUAUAUUAAUGAGUGAUACUUUGGCUAUUUGUGUGAAAAACUCAUCCUCUGCAACAGUCCAACUUGGAGAGACAUUUGAAAAUAUUGUUGUCAGUUCAGUUGCAUUUCUCUCUCUCUCCUUCCUUUUCUCUGCUCUCUCUUUCUGUAAUUUCUUCCUUUUCUCUGCUCUCUCUUUCACUUCUCCUUUUCUGCUCUCUGUUACUUAUUUUCUGCUCUCUCUGUUACUUAUUUUCUGCUCUCUCUGUUACUUCUUUUCUGCUCUCUCUGUUACUUCUUUUCUGCUCUCUCUGUUACUUCUUUUCUGCUCUCUCUUACUUCUUUUCUGCUCUCUCUUACUUCUUUUCUGCUCUCUCUGUUACUUCUUCUCUGCUCUCUCUGUUACUUAUUUUCUGCUCUCUCUGUUACUUAUUUUCUGCUCUCUCUGUUACUUAUUUUCUGCUCUCUCUGUUACUUAUUUUCGGCUCUCUCUGUUACUUCUUUUCUGCUCUCUCUGUUACUUCUUUUCUGCUCUCUCUGUUACUUCUUUUCUGCUCUCUGUUACUUCUCCUUCUCUGCUCUCUCUGUUACUUCUUUUCUGCUCUCUGUUACUUCUCCUUCUCUGCUCUCUCUGUUACUUAUUUUCUGCUCUCUCUGUUACUUAUUUUCUGCUCUCUCUUAUCUGCUCUCUCGCUCUGUCACUUCUCUGCUCUCUUAUCUGCUCUCUCGCUCUGUCACUUCUCUGCUCUCUCUCACUUCUUCUCUGCUCUCUCUGUCACUUCUUCUCUGCUCUCUCUCACUUCUUCUCUGCUCUCUGUCACUUCUUCUCUGCUCUCUCUCACUUCUUCUCUGCUCUCUCUCACUUCUUCUCUGCUCUCUCUCACUUCUUCUCUGCUCUCCCUGUCACUUCUUAUCUGCUCUCCCUGUCACUUCUUCUCUGCUCUCUCUCACUUCUUCUCUGCUCUCUCUCACUUCUUCUCUGCUCUCUCUCACUUCUUCUCUGCUCUCUGUCACUUCUCUGCUCUCUCUUUCUGUCACUUCUCUGCUCUCUCUGUCACUUCUUCUCUGCUCUCUCUGUCACUUCUUCUCUGCUCUCUGUCACUUCUCUGCUCUCUCGCUCACUUCUCUGCUCUCUCGCUCACUUCUCUGCUCUCUCGCUCACUUCUCUGCUCUCUCUCUCACUUCUUCUGCUCUCUCUCACUUUUUCUGCUCUUUCUCUCCCUCACUUCUCUGCUCUCACACUUCUCUGCUCUCUCUCUCUCACUUCUCUGCUCUCUGUCACUUCUUCUUCUCUGCUCUCUUCAAUUUGA